CCUACGGGUGGCAGCAGUGGGGAAUAUUGCACAAUGGGCGCAAGCCUGAUGCAGCCAUGCCGCGUGUGUGAAGAAGGCCUUCGGGUUAUAAAGCACUUUCAGCGGGGAGGAAGGCGGUGAGGUUAAUAACCUCAUCGAUUGACGUUACCCGCAGAAGAAGCACCGGCUAACUCCGUGCCAGCAGCCGCGGUAAUACGGAGGGUGCAAGCGUGAAUCGGAAUUACUGGGCGUAAAGCGCACGCAGGCGGUCUGUCAAGUCGGAUGUGAAAUCCCCGGGCUCAACCUGGGAACUGCAUUCGAAACUGGCAGGCUAGAGUCUUGUAGAGGGGGGUAGAAUUCCAGGUGUAGCGGUGAAAGGCGUAGAGAUCUGGAGGAAUACCGGUGGCGAAGGCGGCCCCCUGGACAAAGACUGACGCUCAGGUGCGAAAGCGUGGGGAGCAAACAGGAUUAGAUACCCUUGUAGUC
rnacentral:rRNA from 1 species